ACACACAAAUGCUUGGCAGAAAGUAGAAUUCAUUUCGGAUAAGGGGUGGGAAAGAGGGGUCUCUCUCUCUCUCUCUCUUUCUCUCUCGCUCUCUGGCAGCCGCCUGCAUUGUUGGCAGGAGCGUUCAGAAUAAAAACAGCAACAGCAAUAGGAGAGAAAAAAGUGAAAUGAUCCGUAGGGCUGAAAGUCUUUGCCCUUUCUUAAUUACGUCGCGUCCAGUAUCCUUUUUUCCUUUUUUUCUUCCUUCUUCUUCAUCUUCUUCUUCCUCCUCCUUUUUUGAAGACUUUAUGAAGUGGUAAUUAGCCAGAAGAGAAUAAAAACAGCUGAUUUGGACAGGACUGCUGCAGUCUGGAGCGAGAUGGCUAACAGGAAGGUUGUUUCACUCCUCGGAUUCCUCCUCCUCGCGCUCCUUCACCCUUCGCUCGAGGGAGGUGUGUAUGUCCCUGGUGGAGGACAGGGUACUCCUACCUUCCCAGGAUAUGGUAGCCUUGGUGCAGGUGGGUUUGGACCUGGAGUUGGAGCAGGGGCUGGGGCCAAGCCACCUAAACCUGGAUAUGGUGGUCUUGUUCCUGGAGGGGCAGGGAUUGGAGGAGCUGGGACAGGGUACGGUGUGAAGCCUCCCAAACCAGGGUAUGGUGGUGUUGGAGGCCUUGGUCCCGGGGGUGUCGGUGCUGGAGGAGGGGUUGGAACAGGAGCUGGUGGGAAGCCUCCAAAGCCAGGUUAUGGAAAUCUGGGCGUUGGAGGACUUGGGGGUGCUGGAGGGCUAUACAGGCCUGGAGGUGAAUUUAUGACAUUACUGACAGAUUUUUGUAGGCUACUAACAUUCACCCUGUAGGUCUACCUUAGGAUUUUGCUACGCACAGUUUAAUGUUUUG
rnacentral:lncRNA from 1 species